rnacentral:rRNA from 1 species
UGGUAAUACCGGAUGCUCCGCUCCAUCGCAUGGUGGGGUGGGAAAUGCUUUUGCGGCAUGGGAUGGGGUCGCGUCCUAUCAGCUUGUUGGCGGGGUGAUGGCCCACCAAGGCGUUGACGGGUAGCCGGCCUGAGAGGGUGACCGGCCACAUUGGGACUGAGAUACGGCCCAGACUCCUACGGGAGGCAGCAGUGGGGAAUAUUGCACAAUGGGCGCAAGCCUGAUGCAGCGACGCCGCGUGCGGGAUGGAGGCCUUCGGGUUGUAAACCGCUUUUGUUCAAGGGCAAGGCACGGUUUCGGCCGUGUUGAGUGGAUUGUUCGAAUAAGCACCGGCUAACUACGUGCCAGCAGCCGCGGUAAUACGUAGGGUGCGAGCGUUAUCCGGAUUUAUUGGGCGUAAAGGGCUCGUAGGCGGUUCGUCGCGUCCGGUGUGAAAGUCCAUCGCCUAACGGUGGAUCUGCGCCGGGUACGGGCGGGCUGGAGUGCGGUAGGGGAGACUGGAAUUCCCGGUGUAACGGUGGAAUGUGUAGAUAUCGAAAAAAACACCA